AUUGAACGCUGGCGGCAGGCCUAACACAUGCAAGCCGAGCGGAUGAGAAGAGCUUGCUCUUCGAUUCAGCGGCGGACGGGUGAGUAAUGCCUAGGAAUCUGCCUGGUAGUGGGGGACAACGUUUCGAAAGGAACGCUAAUACCGCAUACGUCCUACGGGAGAAAGCAGGGGACCUUCGGGCCUUGCGCUAUCAGAUGAGCCUAGGUCGGAUUAGCUAGUUGGUGAGGUAAUGGCUCACCAAGGCGACGAUCCGUAACUGGUCCGAGAGGAUGAUCAGUCACACUGGAACUGAGACACGGUUCAGACUCCUACGGGAGGCAGCAGUGGGGAAUAUUGGACAGUGGGCGAAAGCCUGAUCCAGCCAUGCCGCGUGUGUGAAGAAGGUCUUCGGAUUGUAAAGCACUUUAAGUUGGGAGGAAGGGCAGUAAGUUAAUACCUUGCUGUUUUGACGUUACCGACAGAAUAAGCACCGGCUAACUCUGUGCCAGCCGCCGCGGUAACAC
rnacentral:rRNA from 1 species